rnacentral:rRNA from 1 species
AGAAUCAACGCUGGCGGCGUGCCUAACACAUGCAAGUCGCACGAGAAAGUGGAGCAAUCUACGAGUAAAGUGGCGCACGGGUGAGUAACACGUGAAUAAUCUACCUCCGAGUGGGGAAUAACUGAGAGAAAUCUUAGCUAAUACCGCAUAAUACCCACGGGUCAAAGCAGCAAUGCGCUUGGAGAGGAGUUCGCGGCCGAUUAGCUAGUUGGCGGGGUAAUGGCCCACCAAGGCGAUGAUCGGUA